AAGUAUUAUUGGUGAUAAAGUUGUUGAACUUUGGGACAGGUCAUAUGAUGAGAUUGAAGACCAAGAUAUUCCUAUCCAAAACAUGGUAGGAAAAUCGUUUUGUUUUGGGCUUUCCAUCACCGCUGAUAAUGUGACCAACGGAUCAGCUACAUUUAAGUUUGUUGUUUGGCUUUUUUGUUUCAUGUUGUUUUUGGAAUUUCUGGAUUUUGUUUGGAUUUCGUUUUUUUCAAUACUUUUCAUUUAAAUUCUAUUUUUAAUCAAUAAACUUGGCUUUUACUAAUAAUCAUGUCAACCAGUUAAACUAAGACCAUAGUAAUGUACAAGUCGAUUCCAUAAUUACCUUACCAGCAACUUAGCAUGUAACACUCUCACUAUAAUUUUUUGUAUAGUACUACAAUAGGUAUAAUUAACUCAUAAUCAUUUCGAAAAUACCUAUUUACGCAGUUAGUAAGCCAAUAUUAUCAAUGUGAUUGCCAUCCCUUCAGCUCUUAACGUUCCAACACAAACCUAUAAAUAUUUUGUAAAAAAAUAUAUCUGCAAAAAUAGAUUCUCAUAAAAGGGAAUUGCAAAAAAAAAAUAAUAAUAACUAAAAAUCGUUUUGUAAUAUAGAUUCUCAUAAAAUAUAUUUUUUUUACCAUAAUUUAAAUAUAAAUUAUUAACUAUCAACUUUAUUUAUGCUAAAAACGAAAAUUAAGAUCCUCUAAAUCUUUUGCACGCUAUGUAUCUCAAAAGUCUCUUUUAUUGCAUAACCGAUUACUAAUCCUACAUGUUUCUACUUUUCUUUCAUAUCAUCAGCAAAUCAUACGAUAAUUCAUUCACAUAGAGUUAAAAUCUUCUAAACAAAUUACUAACCGUGUUUUGCUCCUGUUUGAUGUCAAGUGCAUUGUCUAAGUUUGGUUUAGCUGAUGUCUUUUGGUUCUCCAAAACGUCAAUUAAUCAUGCAGACCAAAGAAAACAGUGUCAUUAUUUCCAUUAGAUAAGAGAAAUCUAUUCAUGAAUAAGAGAGGUAUUUUUUUCAAAAAAAAAAAGGGAACAAGAGAGGUAUUUCUAAAAAACAAAUACAACUCACAAUGCUAGCAGCAGUGGUACUUCGUCGUGACAUGCACUUGAAAAGAUGACUAAGACCAGCUCUGCAUAAAAUUUACAAUUCUAAAACUAGAACACCAUUACUGUCCAUACAAAUAUUUACUAUAUGUAGUGUAUCUCAAAACUUAAAAAAUAUUGAUAAGUGCCUGCACUCAUUAAGUAAGAAAUAGAGAGAGUGCUCUAUUACUUCAGAAACCGAAACAGGUAUUUUGUAAAUCUUAGCAUCAAUAAAGUUUGGUUAUCCAUAGUGUUUCAAAAAAAAAAAAAAUCCAUAGAUGCAAGUAUAUAUAAAUAGGUACAAUGCUCUGUCUCAUACCUGUCUACUCCUGCCUUAAAUUUGUUUUUCUGAUUCUUCUUUCUGCUAAAUCAAUAUCAGAAACACAUAUAUACAAAUUGUUAGGAUAUUUAUCAUCAGUGAGGACAAUUAACGAAAAGGGGAGUUUAUUGUGAUUGAUUACCGAACAGUAUAUCAAAUCGAACUUCGAUUGAUUCAUUACAUGCAAUCGAACCUAUAUAUCUGUUAACUAAGCCGGAUUCCUACUGUCUGAUCUCAUUCUUUGGUCAGAUGAACAUCGAUCGUUCAUAUGCAAAUAAGAAAAACAACUUCAAUCGAUUAAAAUAACUUAAUCGUAUAAACUAAAUUAAACUCGGAUAAAAAAAACUAACCUUGAUCAUAGAAGAGACUGCAGAACUAAAGAUCAAACUGAUUUCUUAUAUCUUCUUCCAUAGAUAUAUUUUCCAGUUUCAUGGAUCAAACAACAUGCAAUAGGGUUCAGCAAAGAGGAAAAAAAUAUGGGAGAAUGAGAAGUCGAUAGAAGGAGGAAAGUCGUUUGCCUACCUUUCUGUUAUUAAAUUGGGCUAACAUUAUUAAGCUAAUUAGAAAUCCAAUAUACAGCUAAUGAUAUGUGCCAGCAUUAAUAUAAACAAAACCCAAUUUAAUGGCCUAAAAUUGUGUUUCAAAAAAAAAAUGACCUAAAAUAUAUUUUGUUUUUGUCAACACCUAAGAAUUUAUUCUAAAACUAAAAUAAAUAAAAAACUUAAAAUUUUUAUUCAUAUUACCAAUAAAAAAAUUAAAUUUAUUUAUAUCAAUUUUUUAUU